rnacentral:tRNA from 2 species
GGAGAGGUGGCAGAGUGGUUGAAUGCAACGGUCUUGAAAACCGUCGUACGUGCAAGCGUACCGAGAGUUCGAAUCUCUCCCUCUCCG